GACAGAGGAGCCAAGCGUUGUCCGGAUUGACUGGGCGUAAAGCGCACGCAGGCGGCCGUGCACGUGGGGUGUGAAAGCGCUCGGCUUAACUGAGCGAUGCCACCUCAUACGGCAGGGCUCGAGCCCCGUGAGAGGUCCACGGGAAUUGCCGGUGUAGUGGUGAAAUGCGUAGAGAUCGGGCAGGAACAGCCCAGGGGGAAACCAGCCGACUGGGCAUCUACUGACGCUGAGGUGCGAGAGCGUGGGGAGCGAACCGG
rnacentral:rRNA from 1 species